UAAUGCAGUCUGUUGAGUACCUGAUUCAGUUAGACCAGACAACACGAAGAGACGAGGUGCUUGCAUUUAGCAGAUGGGUUUCAAUAAACCGGGUCACCGAUUUCCAAAUACUUUCCAACUAAGUAGUCAUAAAGAAAACAGAUUUGAAUGAAACUGGAUGGAGUCACAGACUUCAAACUACCAUCAAACGUUCCUAAGGUAACCUGAUGAUUUUUAAUAUUGAUCAAGGUCUAUACGUUUCGUAGAUAUCUCAAGUGUGUUGCUACAUUUCACUCACACUUGAUAAACUCUACUGAUUGUAGAAUGUCUUCAUCAUACCUCAUGCAAAAAAAAUUUUUUUGUGUUAUUCUGUAUUUGUUGUGUUGUCAAUUAAUCCACUUAUUAAGAACACACAUUUUCUUGAUGCUGGAAUGAGUCUCAGAUGUCAUAAUUCUUUGCAACGUUCCUAAGGUAAGGUGGUGAGUUUUUCUUUUGAUCAAGGUCUAUAAGUUUCGUAGACAUUUCAAGUGUGUUGCUACAUUUCACUCACACUUGAUAACCUCUACUCAUCGUAGCAUGUCUUCACCAUACCGCAUGCAAAAACUUUUUUUAUUUAAAGCUUAAGGUUGGUGUUAUUCUGUAUUUGUUGUGUUGUCAAUUAAUCCACUUAUUAAGAAAACACAUUUUCUUGAUGCUGGAGUGAGUCUCAGAUGUCAUAAUUCUUUGCAACGUUCCUAAGGUAAGGUGGUGAGUUUUUCUUUUGAUCAAGGUCUAUAAGUUUCGUAGACAUCUCAAGUGUACUGCUACAUUUCACUCACACUUGAUAACCUCUACUCAUCGUAGCAUGUCUUCACUAUACUGCAUGUAAAAAUAAUUAAAUGUAAAGCUUAA